rnacentral:lncRNA from 1 species
AUUACAAACAACAAUUUUAUAUCCUGGGGAACAUUUUUCACAGUUCUAACUUUUUAAUUUGUUUUUCUGAAGACAAAUCAUUAAUUUAACAAACAACCUUUGAUUCAUAAAUAAAUUAUAGUACAACCAAUCCUGUUACAAAGACUUCAAUACACCUUCCUAUUCUAAAGUCACACAAACAAUAAAAAAAUGUAGACUUAAGUUAAGCUAUAAAUUCGAAAACACCAAAUACAAAGUUGACAUAGAUAUUAUCAAGUCACAGGAUUUUAAAGGCAUCUUCUUGAAAUGAUUUGCCACGGUAGAAUCCAACAAUUCAAAUGCAAUUCCAUUGCUUCUAAGUUCUAAUAUUAUUGCAUACCCAAAUAACAAUAUCCUUCUUAUCUUAGAAAUUUGGCUCCAUAGACCUUUCUUUUAACCAACUCCAUAAGCACCAAAAAUUGUGAACACUCUUCUGUCACCUUAUAAGUGUGGGUAUACUCUGUCAUGAUAAAAUAAAACAUGAUUAAUUUUCAAGUAUAAUAAUAACCAAAAAUGGAAAUACUCACAUUUAAAUAAAACAUGAUUAAUUUUCAAGUAGCCUAAUGACAAUACUCACAUUUAAAUGUGGAGAAACGUGAAAUCGGGGGUUAGAACACUGACCAUAAUAUCCCCGGUAGCUACCAUUUGAGCUACACUUAUGGGACAUGGUUCAACCACUAGAAUAUAAGCAUAUAUGAGCAUAUGACCCCUUUACUUAACAAGUUCAACCACUAGAAUAUGAGCAUAUGACCCCUUUUUAUAUUAUGCCCUGUAUUUGUUUGUUAUACUAGAGGGUUAAUACCAAAAAUAAACUAAUAUCUAAUUAAGGACUCAAGUUUAUCCAAAUAGCAAUUAAUACUUAUCAGUAGCCAUAUAGCCAAGUGUUCCAGCAAUGACACUAGUACAAUUACCUGCUCUAGUGCAUCUGUCUGAGUAAUUGAUUCUUCACAUUGUAUGUAAUUCAAUCAUCAAUGAGAAUGCAUAUACUCCAUUCUUCUUUUCAGCAAAUUAACAUAAUGAAAAGGCACCAUUUAUCACAUGAAACCUCUUUUACUUAGAACUUGCAUAUAUACUAACACCAAGCACAUCCUUCACUACAAAGUAAUAUACAUUGAAAUUGUUGAAUACAUAUAUACAAAAUUCAAGUAUUGUAGGAAAGAUGGAAUAAUUAUAUAACUUGCAAUUACAUAACUCACCUCUGCUGUAAGAUGUGGAACACCUACUCUCUCUUCUUCACUGCACUAUGGACUCUAAGACCCCACAAAAACAAAUAGCAAGAUUUUUUUCUUACAAACUGAUAUAGUAUCAUCCCUAAAAACCAACA